rnacentral:rRNA from 1 species
AUUGAACGCUAGCGGGAUGCAUUACACAUGAAAGUCGAACGGAGUGGCGAACGGGUGAGUAAUGUAUCGGAACGUGCCCAGUAGCGGGGGAUAACUACGCGCAAGCGUAGCUAAUACCGCCGACUGUUGGAGCGGCCGAUAGCGGAGUAGCUAGUUGUUGGGGUACAGGCUAACCAAGGCGACGAGCCGUAGCUGGUUUGCGAGGACGACCAGCAGCACUGGGACUGAGACACGGCCCAGACGCUUACGGGAGGCAGCAGUGGGGAAGUUUGGCCAAUGGGGGAAACCCAGAUCCAGCCAUCCCGCGUGUGCCAUGAAGGCCGUCGGGUUGUAAAGCACUUUUGUCAGGAAAGCGGGACCUACAGAAUAAGCACCGGCUAACUACGGGCCAGCAGCCGCGGUAAUUC